AAAAGGAGAAAUCCGGUAUAGGAUGGGCUCGCGGCGCAUUAGCUAGUUGGUGAGGUAACGGCUCACCAAGGCGACGAUGCGUAGCCGACCUGAGAGGGUGGACGGCCACACUGGGACUGAGAUACGGCCCAGACUCCUACGGGAGGCAGCAGUGGGGAAUAUUGGGCAAUGGGCGCAAGCCUUACCCAGCAAUACCGCGUGAGUGAAGAAGGUCUUCGGAUUGUAAAGCUCUUUGAUCAGGGACGAACAGAUGACGGUACCUGAAGAACAAGCCCCGGCUAACUACGUGCCAGCAGCCGCGGUAAAACGUAGGGGGCGAGCGUUGUCCGGAAUGACUGGGCGUAAAGGGUGCGUAGGCGGCAUAAUAAGUUAGAAGUGAAAUACCCAGAGCUUAACUCGGGUGCUGCUUCUAAGACUGUUGAGCUUGAGUGCGGGAGAGGUUAAUGGAAUUCCUAGUGUAGCGGUGGAAUGCGUAGAUAUUAGGAGGAACACCAGAGGCGAAGGCGAUUAACUGGACCGUAACUGACGCUGAGGCACGAAAGUGUGGGUAGCAAACAGGAUUAGAUACCCUGGUAGUCCACACUGUAAACGAUGGAUACUAGAGGCAGGAGGUAUCGACUCCUUCU
rnacentral:rRNA from 1 species